CCCACUGCUUAAAAUAACUGUGCUUAGCUUCAAAUCGCAUACACAUACUUCUUAUUAAUGGACCAAGAGAUAUGAUUUGGCUUGGUAGAUGUAACAUGUAAUGUUGCUUGGGUAUUACAUUGGCUUCAGAGAAAAGUUCUUUGAAAUGAUGCAGAUGUUGCUCAAUCAUGCGUCUGAGCCGUAAUACGGUUUCUAAAGAAAUAACAGGAGCAAGGACAAUUUGAACAAUCUCAAUUAACUUGAGAAUAAAUUUGACAUACUCGUUGUCCAUACCGUUCAAAAGAAAAGGUAGGAUUUUUAAAAGUAUCAACAUUUGUCCACAUGACUGCUUUAAUUUAUUGUCAUUAGCAGCAAGUACUGACACUAAUAGGACAUGGCUUAUCUCUUAUGUCUAGAGGUGAGUAAGGAAAAUUUAGAAUAGCUGAGUUAAUCUCAUCUAAUUCUAUCUGUCCUGACAGAAUCAGGUUUUUUAAUACAAGCUUUAUUUCCAUUGGUGCAACACCUUCAAAAAUUACAUGCAUUAUAUCCUGUGGUGUUUGUUUGAUCAGAUCAAAUGCUGGAACAUCAACUAGUCUGCUUCUUCUGUUAAUCCCAUAAGUGGUUUUGAGGGAUGCUUUCAAUGUUUCUGUGCUUGCCUUAUCUAUUUCAACACACUGCCUAAUGUGCUUUUCCAAAGUUCUUUCAGCAAACCUAUUCUCCUCAAAAAUACUUUGCAUAUCCUCAAAGGAGCAUUCACAAUGUCUACAUUUGCUAUAAGCAAAACCAACACCUUGUUUAAAUCCAGCAAUAUCAUGUUGGGCAAGUGUGUCUCCACAUAUGGCGAUCACAGCACCAAACAACUCAAUUUCACCAUUUGGGGUGUCAAUCCUAACACCAUUGUACAGAAGUGUCAGAUCUUUUUGGAUUCUUUUUAGUAUAACAUCAACACCCCACUGAGAAAUAUUGUUUGCCUUGGCAAUAGCCAGGAGUCUUAUUGCAGCCAACUUCGACCUAAAUUUUGGAUCUAUAUUCCCUAAACUAUAAUAAAACCUCAGUAAUUUAUUUGCAGAGGCAUGGGCGCCUAAAGGGUUACAUAUUUCAAUUUCAUCGGUGUACAAUAGUAUUUGCAAUGCAUUUGGCCUUUGAGAAUAUAAUGGAUGGGAUGUAAAAAGGGCUCCAUCAGUAAAAUCAUACAAGAAUCCCUCACUUCUUUGUGGUACAGUGGUUAAGUACAUGGUGAAGAUUCUGGGAUUGGUCAGUAACUGCUUAAGACUUUGAAUGAGUGGUACAUAGUAAAAACUUUUGCCUCUUAAGGCCAUGACCCUUGAAAGACCACGCUUUACCCAACAAAUCUUCUGGGACACCACAACUUCCUCUGGGUUGACUGGAUUGAAUAGUUCCCGGAUGGUUUUAUUCUGUCCAUAUGCUGUGGUUGAGAAAGGAUCCAUGAACGCAUCAAACGUAGCCAAAGCCUCCCCUUGGAGCUGAGCAGUUGUGUCUGGAUUCUCUUCAAACACCCUUCUGAUUCUCUCCCUUAGUGUGUCAAUGAGAGCAGCUUGGUACUGUUGCACCCCUGAGAUGACACUGUUGACAGUUCUCUGGGAAAAUAUUUAAAAUGUAAAUAAUUUUGUCACCCAUAUAAUUCACAGGCCCAUAUUUUACAUUAGAAUAAUUUAAAUUAAUUGUACCAUUAAAGCAUUUGCCCAUGAAGAUAAAUUUACCUGUGAUAACUGGCACUGUUCCCGGACACUGAUGGCGAAUGCCGCUGCGGAUCUAGCUAUAUCAGGUCUGGUUCUGGAGGUCACAGCAACAGCGUCUUCCUUUAUAAAAUGAGUUGUAAUUUUUUAAGAGCGAGUAGAUGGACACAGUCAAAGUUGCAAUUGAUUUGAAAGGAAAUGGACAUUUUUGAGGAGAUGCCCGAGAGGGGAAAGACUUCAUUUUAAUCCCGUAUUCGCAGCUCUAUCGUCUAAGGUAAGAGGAAUUAAAUGUUUUUUUUAAUGUUUAAUCUUAGCAUUCAAUGGAGAUAAUACCUAUGAAAGAGAAAGUGUGCAUAGGCUACUCAAAUCAUGCAUGAUUAACGCGCACACUCGCAGUGUGGAUUCAAUGAGGCCCAUAUUUAAAUAUAUCGUUAUAUGUAGGACAAAAAUAUUAAAUUACAUAACAAGUCAGCAUCACACAGAGAGCAACCUAAUUGGCACGAUAAGAUUGAAAAUAAAUUGAAUUGUGGAAACUUACGGACUCAAGGCGGCCGUCAGCUUCAGGCUGUGGUGACGGUUCAGGUAAAGAGGCAUCAGGUGGGACAGCCGUAGUGCUGGCCGCUGCAGGAGUGCUACAGCUGGAAAACACCGAAACACCAAAUGUUUCCUGUCCCAAAGACCGAGAAGAAGGCGUCGUACUCCAUCCGCUUGGUGGGCAUCCAGUCCUCAAAUACUGAAGUUCUACGGUACCGCCUGUUAAUGCUUCAGGGAGCUGAUGAAUCUAAGAUGGAUACUUUUGACGAUGCCACUCUAUCGGUGUUGGAGGGUGCCAGUGUUGAUGAGGAGGCUUUGAAAGGCCUUAGCCGGGAUGACCUGAGGGAUCUUUUUCCUGGCCCAGAGAAUUUCCUCAAAAGAAAGAAACUUUGGAAUUUCAUCAGUGAAAAUUGUGAAAAUACCACGGACCAAGAUGCCAACAAUUGUGCCAUGCCACCAUGCCAGCCUCAAACCUCAACCCCCAUAUCUGCUGAGAAAAAAAUGAAAAUGCCAGACCCUCCAGAGUAUGUGGUGUACACAGAUUCAGAGUUAGACAUGGUGCGUAGUCAAUACUUUGCACUGCUCUGCAAUGGAAAGGAAAAAAAUUACAAACUGUCCAAGGAGCUAUGUUGCAGACUUGUAAGGAACACAAUAACCAGUAUGGUUGCUAUCCUGCGUGCUAGUCCCAUGGGGAAAGAAGUCAGUUACCCGUCAAAAUUGGAAAUAAGAGCCAUGUCACAGAAGAUUAUAGACUAUUACCCAAUGUUACGGGAUGAUGAUCCAAACAUGCCUUAUCUGACUAUCUACACCAAAAUGUACAAGCGACUCCAAAAUAUGAGAUCCCCACGGAAGAGGCAAGGCUCUGUACCACAAAGAGGAGUGGCAAAGACAGCUCUCUUCAGUGCAGACAACCAAGACAUGGAGACGGAUUGGACAGACACAAGCAACUCAAGUGAUAAUACCUUACUUCUUGAGAGCAAUGAUGACCUUACCGAGGACAACUCCAGUGAAGCAUUCCCAGCACAUCGACCCCCCUCUGUGCCAAGGAAGCCAAAGACCAAAACCUUCCUGCUGCCAUCCGCAUCAGCCUCAGGCUCCUCACUCAGGACUGUGAUCGCUUCACCAACCACGCCUGCAAAGGAUGAUGUUG
ensembl:lncRNA